rnacentral:lncRNA from 1 species
UUCUCUCUCGGUUGUUCCAGAGAGUUCUACAACUUCUCUCUCUACUUCUCUCACUGUGUUCUUCAUUAUUUUGCCUUCAGUCUAUAUGUUUUCAUGACCAAGUACAAAUACUAGUUUUUUUCGAGGAAAACAAAGUGUGUACAAAGCAACUUCUUCAUUAUUUUGCCUUCAGUCUAUACGUUUUCAUGGUAUCAGAGCGGGAUGAUCCUCGGAUUCUUCCCCGUUACUUGUUAUCGAUCGCGUUGGAAGUUUUAUUGAACGAUUUUUUGGAUAUUUGUGAGAAAUUUUGUUUACCGAGAGAACGAUGUAUAUUGAGCGGUUAAUCGGAACUUUUACUGCUGUUUAAUGCUUCGAUCUUCACUCAGUGGAUGCUUAGGGUGAUUUUCCGACAUCCCUGACCUUUUUCCCGGUGACUUUCCAGAUUUUAGGGUUUCUGGUGGUUGAACCUAGGGUUUUGCUGCUAUCCGAUGGCUCGAUCCUCACUCGGUGGAUGUUUUGGGUGAUUUUCCGACGUCCCUAACCCUAUUCCGGUAAGUUUUCAGACCUACGGUUCCCGGUGGUUGGACCUAGGGUUUUAUUUGGCGAUUGAAGGCCGUUCUUCUCCGGUCGCGAAGAAGGAGGGUAACUCUAUCCCUGUUAUAAGUGUUGUAUUCUUUGCAUGUGGGUUCUGACCCAAUUUUAGACCUUUUGCUGAGACUGUUUUUGAUUUCAGACUGGUUUUUUUGUUCAUGGCUUCUAAUAUGAAUGUCAAUACCUCCUCAGUGGACUCUACCAGCC